AUGGAAGCCACAGGAGAGCUUUUUCAAGGACAGCACAGGUGGCCUGCACCGUCUCCUCAUCCUACCCCCAUGUUCCCUAUCUUCUCCCUCCUGCAUCGCUUUCUCUGCUCCAUGCGUGCAACUAUAUUACAUAAUGAAUAUUGUUCUUUCUUACAGAAAAGGCAAAACAAUCUCGUGGCACAGAAAUUGGGACAGUCUAGGUCAGAGGUCAGCGAACAUCUCCCGGAAAGGGCCCGAUACCUAAAUGUGAGCUCUCCCAUGGAACUUCUCUGGCAGACUUCCUUCCUUGGCACGAUUCAUUAUCAUAGAGGACAGAAGAACUCUGGAACCAACCCAGCCUGGAUUCGAAUCCUGACACUGCCCAUUGCUGGCUGUGUGAUGCUGGGUAAGAUGCCCGAGUUCCGUAUGCCUCCAUAGCUUUACCUGUAAAAUGCUGUAAUCAAGCUCAGAAGGGUGAUGUGAAAAUAAAACAAAAUCAUAUCUUUGAAGAUUUUAACA
rnacentral:lncRNA from 1 species